AGGCAGCCUCUCCAGUACCCAGCUUUGCAGUUAACGUUGGGCAGCAGAACCCAGCAGCUGGCAGCUUCCUCAGCAUCUCCACCCUAAGGCAGUUUUAUAACAAGAGGCCUCCAGUGAGUCAUCUCUCUGUGAAUAGUUUUCACUGGCACCCUGGUGGGUAUAUUUCCAGCAAGUUCCACCAGUGCAGCAUCACAGCAUCCUCUCUGCAUUCAGUGAGCCACUUCCGUGCCCUCUCCAACAAGGUCUGGAUCGGAGCCUUUGGGAACAGAGGGAUCACAGUAUACUGAAAGGCACUCGAUCAAGAGAGCUCUGGGGGAAGCUGGGAACCAUCAAGUUAUUGAGGCCACACAGGGGGCAGAAAGACAGAGGACUUAUAUUUGAGGCCACUUCAAUCUCUUAGUGCUGCGUUCUCCCAGCCAGAGAGAGAGACUGACCGCCCUGUUGCAGUUCAGAUGGCUGAUCAGAAAACAUGGAGUAAGCCUCAGCCUUUGUGAA